rnacentral:rRNA from 1 species
GACGAACGCUGGCGGCGUGCUUAACACAUGCAAGUCGAACGGAAAGGCCCUGCUUUUGUGGGGUGCUCGAGUGGCGAACGGGUGAGUAACACGUGAGUAACCUGCCCUUGACUUUGGGAUAACUUCAGGAAACUGGGGCUCAUACCGGAUAGGAGCUCCUGCUGCAUGGUGGGGGUUGGAAAGUUUCGGCGGUUGGGGAUGGACUCGCGGCUUAUCAGCUUGUUGGUGGGGUAGUGGCUUACCAAGGGUUUGACGGGUAGCCGGCCUGAGAGGGUGACCGGCCACAUUGCGACUGAGAGACGGCCCAGACUCCUACGGGAGGCAGCAGUGGGGAAUAUUGCGCAAUGGGCGGGAGCCUGAUGCGGCAACGCCGCGUGCGGGAUGACGGCCUUCGGGUUGUAAACCGCUUUCGCCUGUAACGAAGCGUGAGUGACGGUAAUGAGUAAAGAAGCACCGGCUAACUACGUG